rnacentral:rRNA from 1 species
GACGAACGCUGGCGGCGUGCUUAACACAUGCAAGUCGAACGGAAAGGCCUGCUUUCCCUUGUGGAUUGCGGGUACUCGAGUGGCGAACGGGUGAGUAACACGUGAGUGAUCUGCCCCCAACUUGGGUAUAAGCCUGGGAAACUGGGUCUAAUUCCCGAUAGGACUGCAGGGUGGUGCCUGUGGUGGAAAACGAUUUUCUAGUGGUUGGGGAUGAGCUCGCGGCCUAUCAGCUUGUUGGUGGGGUAAUGGCCUACCAAGGCGGCGACGGGUAGCCGGCCUGAGAGGGUGGACGGCCACAGUGGGACGGAGAUACGGCCCAGACUCCUACGGGAGGCAGCAGUGGGGAAGAUUGCACAAUGGGCGGAAGCCUGAUGCAGCGACGCCGCGUGGGGGAUGACGGCCUUCGGGUUGUAAACUCCUUUCGACCGCGAGGAAGCCACCUGGUUGGAAGGGUGGUGACGGUAGUGGUAGAAGAAGCACCGGCUAACUACGUG